rnacentral:rRNA from 1 species
CGAACGGGUGAGUAAUGCGUGACCAACCUGCCCCAAUGCUCCAGAAUAGCUCUUGGAAACGGGUGGUAAUGCUGGAUGCUCCAACUUGACGCAUGUCUUGUUGGGAAAGUGUUUAGUGGCAUGGGAUGGGGUCGCGUCCUAUCAGCUUGUAGGCGGGGUAAUGGCCCACCUAGGCUUCGACGGGUAGCCGGCCUGAGAGGGCGGACGGCCACAUUGGGACUGAGAUACGGCCCAGACUCCUACGGGAGGCAGCAGAC